rnacentral:lncRNA from 1 species
CAGAGGAUGUGAGGUGACAACCCUUGCUUGUCUUCUUGUCUGUUUGUUCAACCUCUUCAGCCUUCAUAGCCACAGAGGAAGGACAAGGACUGCAGUGAUGUGCACUUUGGAUGGACAGAAGUGGAGAGCAGACUUCAGAAAACAAAAUCAAGUGUGAACUGUUACCUCACUCCUCUCAGGAGUGCCUGGCCAGGUGGACCCCAGGAGCCGCGUGUCUGUGCCUCACCCUGACGCUGCACCUGAUCCCAGAGAAGUGGGGACCUCCAUCAUGCCUGCUGGGCGUUGCUGGACUCCUGACUCUGCCUGGACCAGGUUGGCAGAGGGGAACACGUGCAUGUGUGCAGUUGGUCAUGGAAUUCAUAUGCACCUGUUGAUCCCAGGCAAGGAAGCUCACCAGGACCUCCAUGUUAGCGACUUUGAACUCUAAGGUGAGGAGACCUGGGCCUGGGGGGCCGUGGCUCAUUCAGGAGCCACAUCCUAGGCUGUGAGAGGGUCUCUGAGUGCCCGGGUUUCCCAGCCUAACCUCACAGCCUCCACUCAC